rnacentral:lncRNA from 1 species
UCACAGCUCGGUGAUGUACGCAGCGCACAUGUGUGAUUGACAUAACUCUCUGGCUGGGAGCGCGGCACCCACGAAGAGAAGGGCAAAUGGCAUUUGGUUUGAAAUUUAAGCUUUCUCCGUGGUGUGAAGCGAUGUAACACUUAGCUGGCAUGAUCGUUAGCGCACAUUGUAUGCACUGCGCUUGUCAACUCAAAAUGGCCAGACGUGGUGAGGGGCCCUGUCAUGCAUA